rnacentral:rRNA from 1 species
AACGAACGCUGGCGGCAGGCCUAACACAUGCAAGUCGAACGCUCCAGCAAUGGAGAGUGGCAGACGGGUGAGUAACGCGUGGGAACCUUCCCUACGGUUCGGAAUAGCUCAGGGAAACUUGAGGUAAUACCGGAUAAGCCCUUCGGGGAAAGGAUUAUCGCCAUUGGAUGGGCCCGCGUAGGAUUAGCUAGUUGGUGAGGUAACGGCUCACCAAGGCGACGAUCCUUAGCAGGUCUGAGAGGAUGAUCAGCCACACUGGGACUGAGACACGGCCCAGACUCCUACGGGAGGCAGCAGU